CACGUAGGGCGCAAGCGUUGUCCGGAAUUAUUGGGCGUAAAGAGCUCGUAGGCGGUCUGUUGCGUCCGCUGUGAAAACUCGGGGCUUAACCCCGAGCCUGCAGUGGAUACGGGCAGACUAGAGGUAGGUAGGGGAGAAUGGAAUUCCCGGUGUAGCGGUGAAAUGCGUUGAGAUCGGAAGGAACGCCCGUGGCGAAAGCGGGCGCCUGGACCCCACCUGACGCUGAGACGCGAAAGCCAGGGGAGCGAACGGG
rnacentral:rRNA from 1 species